CCCUUAGAUGUCCGGGGCCGCACGCGCGCUACACUGAAGGAAUCAGCGUGGCUUUCUCCCUGACCCGAAAGGGUUGGGAAACCCGUUGAAUCUCCUUCGUGAUAGGGAUUGGGGCUUGAAAUUGUUCCCCAUGAACGAUGAAUUCCCAGUAAGCGCGAGUCAUAAGCUCGCGUUGAUUACGUCCCUGCCCUUUGUACACACCGCCCGUCGCUACUACCGAUUGAACGGUUUAGUGAGGGCCUCGGAUUGGUCUCGGCCCGCUCUUUACCGGGCGGCGCCGUUGGUCGAGAAGACGCUCGAACUUGAUCGUUUAGAGGAAGUAAAAGUCGUAACA
rnacentral:rRNA from 1 species